rfam:Aedes albopictus isolate Foshan contig29609, whole genome shotgun sequence.
GGCUCUGUAGCUUGGAGGAAAGAAGCGCCCGUCUAGCGAAUUGGGAGUCGUGGGUUCAAUUCCCACCGGAGCAC